ACUUUAGAGGAAUUGCAAGAUAAGAAUGACCCUAAUUUUAUUGAAGAUACUAUUAAUAUUUUCUUCAAAGAUUCUUCCCAAGUGAUCAUUAACAUUGAGAAAGGACUGAAUGAGAAUCCCAUUGAUUUCAAUAAGCUGUACAGGUACAUGCUUAAAAUUAAGGGCAGCAGUUCAAGCAUUGGAGCUAAAAAGGUGAAAGACUCGACCUUAGAUUUUCAACAUUACUGUGAUGCUCGAAAUGUAGAAGGAUGCAAGAGGGUUGUGGAAAUUUUGAAGAUAGAACAUGCAGUUCUGAAAGAGAAGCUUCAAUCUUACUUUCAG